UUGCUCUUUAUGAAAUCUAGUGGCAAACGGGUGAGUAACACGUAAACAACCUGCCUUCAGGAUGGGGACAACAGACGGAAACGACUGCUAAUACCGAAUACGAUUCUUGAGUCGCAUGACACAAGAAAGAAAGGGUGGCCUCUACUUGUAAGCUAUCGCCUGAAGAGGGGUUUGCGUCCGAUUAGGUAGUUGGUGAGGUAACGGCCCACCAAGCCGACGAUCGGUAGCCGGUCUGAGAGGAUGAACGGCCACAUUGGAACUGAGACACGGUCCAGACUCCUACGGGAGGCAGCAGUGGGGAAUCUUCCGCAAUGGGCGAAAGCCUGACGGAGCAACGCCGCGUGAGUGAAGACGGCCUUCGGGUUGUAAAACUCUGUGAUUCGGGACGAAAGAUAAGUAGACGAAUAAUCUGCAUAAGUGACGGUACCGAAAAAGCAAGCCACGGCUAACUACGUGCCAGCAGCCGCGGUAAUACGUAGGUGGCAAGCGUUGUCCGGAAUUAUUGGGCGUAAAGCGCGCGCAGGCGGCUACUUAAGUCCAUCUUAAAAGUGCGGGGCUUAACCCCGUGAUGGGAUGGAAACUGAGAAGCUGGAGUGUCUGAGAGGAAAGUGGAAUUCCUAGUGUAGCGGUGAAAUGCGUAGAGAUUAAGAAGAACACCGGUGGCGAAGGCGACUUUCUGG
rnacentral:rRNA from 1 species